rnacentral:misc_RNA from 1 species
GGAAGUAGAAGUCGUAACAAGGUUUCCGUAGGUGAACCUGCGGAAGGAUCAUUAUUGUAUAACCGAGGUGCGAGGGCUGUCGCUGACCCGAAAGGUCGUGCACGCCCGAGUGCCCUCACACACAUCCACCUCACCCCUAUGUGCACCACCGCGUGGGUCCCCCUUUGGCUUGUUCGGAGGGGGGCUUACGUUUUCACACAAACUUUGUAUGCAGUGUAGAAUGUAUUUUUUGUUUUUGCGAUCACGCAAUCAAUACAACUUUCGACAACGGAUCUCUUGGCUCUC